rnacentral:misc_RNA from 1 species
UCCCUGUUGCCAGGGCAGUCUAGCUAGAGAAAUCCAACUAACUAUAAGGGUUGCGCUCGUUGAUGGACUUAACCAAACAUCUCACGACACGAGCUGACGACGGCCAUGCAACACCUGUCACUGCUUUCCCGAAGGCACAAUCUCCUUUCGGAGACCUUAGCAGGAUGUCAAGCCUGGGUAAGGUUCUUCGCUUACCAUCGAAUUAAACAACACGCUCCACCGCUUGUGCGGGUCCCCGUCAAUUCCUUUAUGUUUUAAGCUUGCGCUCGUACUCCACAGGCGGGAUGCUUAACGCGUUAGCUUCGCUACUACUCGGGUCGAUACGAAUAACAGCUAGCAUCCAUAGUUUACGGCGUGGACUAC